rnacentral:rRNA from 1 species
AUUGAACGCUGGCGGCAUGCCUUACACAUGCAAGUCGAACGGUAACAGGUCUUCGGAUGCUGACGAGUGGCGAACGGGUGAGUAAUACAUCGGAACGUGCCCGAUCGUGGGGGAUAACGAGGCGAAAGCUUUGCUAAUACCGCAUACGAUCUACGGAUGACAGCGGGGGAUCUUCGGACCUCGCGCGGCCGGAGCGGCCGAUGGCAGAUUAGGUAGUUGGUGGGAUAAAAGCUUACCAAGCCGACGAUCUGUAGCUGGUCUGAGAGGAUGAUCAGCCACACUGGGACUGAGACACGGCCCAGACUCCUACGGGAGGCAGCAGUGGGGAAUUUUGGACAAUGGGCGAAAGCCUGAUCCAGCCAUGCCGCGUGCAGGAUGAAGGCCUUCGGGUUGUAAACUGCUUUUGUACGGAACGAAAAGCCUCUUUCUAAUAAAGAGGGGUCAUGACGGUACCGUAAGAAUAAGCACCGGCUAACUACGUG